rnacentral:lncRNA from 1 species
UUUAUGAGGCAGCAAGGCUAAUCUUUCUUAGGCUCUUAGCCUCAAUGAAAUGAGGGCUCAGACAGUAUCCUGUGUGCAUUUUAAGCCAUCACUGUCAGUGAACUUAAGCUGUUACUUCUGCCCCUUCCCCUGAAGAUGGGGUUGCUACAGGCAAACAACUACGAAGUGACUGACGGGCAGCUAAUGUAUACAGCGUGGAUACACUGGACAAAGGAAUGAUUCACAUGCUGAGCAAGAUGGAGCAAGAUUUCAUUAUGCUUUUCAGAAUGGUGCACAAUUAAAAACUUAUGAAUUUCUGGAAUAUUCCAUUUAAUGCUUUUGGACUGUGGUUAACCACUAGUAACUGAAACAAUGGAAAGUGAAACCAUGGAUGAGAAGUAGGUACUAGUGAACAAGUUUCCAGUUAAAUGUUCAAAUUCAAUCUGCUCCUCAGUUAAACAUAUGAAUUAUUUUUAAAUGUAAAAAUUUUGUAUAUAUUCCUCUGGACAAUGAAGAUUAAACAGAAGAAAGAUGGUAAAAAAAAAUUUAAACUCAUGGAGUACUGUAGUAUCCAUUUUUUAUCUUUUUAAAUUAUUUUAUUAUUCUUUUAUACUUGGUCAAUGUAAAGUUUUGUUAAAUCUGAUUUGAUUCAGUUAGGUCCAUACUUAACCUACUUUUAGUACAAAAUAUGAUUUUUUUUCCAGGUUCCAAGCAAGUAGGUUUAUUUUCAGUUGCCUGAGUAGAUAUAUCUAUGGCCAGUAUAUGCAAUAGAUAGAAGCUCAAAGCCAGAGAAGUUUCAUUCUCCGGGGUCCAUGUGAUGUGUUUGAUUCAACUGAUUAUAAGGUACCCUGAAAAAAUACGUUGUCAGUGCUGUAUGCUGUAGUUUAUUUCAAAAUAAGAUACACACAACCAUUGGGACUGAGAGGCUGGGUUGUUUUGUCAAGGUCAACAUUUAACUCUAUUCUGGAACUGUUCUCAGAAUUAUGAAAACCAGAAUUGCACUCAGAACUCAUGUUUUUGUUUGUUUUUGAGAUGGAGUCUUGCUUUGUCGCCUAGGCUGGAGUGCAGUGGCGCCAUCUAGGCUCACCGCAACCUCUGCCUCCCAGGUUCAAGCAAUUCUCCUGCCUCAGCCUCCCGAGUAGCUGGUACAACAGGCACGUGUCAUCACGUCAGCUAAUAUUUGUAUUUUUAGUAGAGAUGGGGUUUCACCCAUGUUGGUCAGGCUGGUCUUGAACUCCUGACCAUGUGAUCCACCCGCCUUGGCCUCCCAAACUGUUGGGAUUACAGGCGUGAGCUACCGCGCCUGGCCAGAACUCAUUUUUAACCACCGUCAAGCAACAAUUUAAAAACAAGUAUGAAUAAAAUUUAACUUUUAUAUAAAACAAAAUCAACUGAUAAGGUUUUUACAUCUUAAGUUACAAAGGAAGAUUGCAUUUUUAUCAAUAACUUUUCUAAACAAAUUCUUUUUUCUUUUUAGGAACAUUUCUUUUGCAAACAGUAAGCCCAUCUAAAUUAAUUCAUAUGAUAAGGGGAUUUCUAUCUCUCUUUAUAAAUCCUGAGGUCAGUAAUUCUAGGAAAAUACAGCUGCCUAUGGGGUAAAUUCAUGAUAAUUUCACAGCAUUGACAACACCGCCAUUAAAGAGAGAGCCAGAAAAGUAGUUAAUGGAAUAUGCUCAAGAACAUUGUUUAUUAUAGACAAUUUAAUAUUUUCAUGAUAAAAUGUAACUGUGAUAAGACAUUAGUUAUUUAUAUCUUUACUAAUGUACAUGUCAUAAAAUAUUUAUGAAAUGCCAGUAACGCAUUAGACUUCUAAAAUUAAACACUGGACUUAAACAAAUUAAAAGCACAUAAGUCUAAUUUCAAUUAUUCUAAUACUGAUAAAAAUGUUGUGAGCAAUAUAUUUCAAAACUUUUUUUUUUCAAGAAAAGAAUACUGAUUAAUAAUAUUUCUUUUAGAAGGUUUAUUUUAGGUCUUUAACUCACACACACACACACACACACAAACGUGGCAUAUGCUAUUCUGAAUUCCUGGAAUGGCAGAUACUUACAGUCUUUCUUUCUAUUAAGUGUAUCCUAUAUGAAGUGCAACUUUUUACAAAAAACAAGAAAGUGAUUAUAAUCUCAGCUUAAAGAGAUAGAGUGUAAGAAUAAAUCAAAUGGUGAACUCAGGAUGUAUAUCUACCUCCUUCUCACCUUUGACACAUUUAGAAAUCAAUAUAGGCCGGGCGUGGUGGCUCACGCCUGUAAUCCUAGCACUUUGGGAGGCAGAGGCAGGCAGAUUGCUUGAGGUCAAGAGUUCGAGACCAGCCUGGCCAACAUGGUGAAACCCCAUCCCUAUUAGACAUACAAAAAAUUAGCCGGGAGGGGUGGUGUACACCUGUAGUCCUAGCUACUCAGGAGAAUCUGAGGCAGGAGAAUCUCUUGAACCCAGGAGGCGGAGGAUGCAGGGAGCCGAGAUUGUGCCACUGCACUCCAGCCUGGGUGACACAGAGAGAUUCUGUCUCAAAAAUUAAAAUUAAAAAAAAAAGAAAUCGUGCUAUAUAUGUACACAUGUAUGUACACAUAUAUGUAAAAUUAUAAACAUAUGAUACAUAAGGUACUUAUCUUUUUUACAUAUAUAAAGUUUUAAUCAAUAUGAAUGAGUUACACUGCUGAAAAACAGGGAAACUUCACUUCUGUUGAGUAGAAGUUAUAAUAGAUCAUGAUUAUAAUAUAUACAUAUAUUAUAAAACAGAAUUUGAUUAUUGCGAUCGUAGCUCUAUAAUUAUAAAAGGAAGCACAGUUGUAAAAGGUAGAAAUGACUCUGUAGCUGUGUUUGCCAAGUUCAAAAAGUAUAAUAUAUUUUAUACUGAUUAUAACUAUAAAAGGAAGCACAGUUGUAAAAGGUAGAAAUGACUCUGUAGGUGUGUUUGCCAAGUUCAAAAGUAAUAGAGCCUUAAGCAGGGAAGUGUCCUAGGACAACCUUUAGGGUAAUUUGUAGAGAGAUCUUCUCCCCACAUGUCUUACUCUGUUGUCAGACAAUGAACCGUCAGGUAAAAUGGGCUUCUUUUCCAACAAAAAAGCAGUAACUGACUGCUUAGGCCUGAAGACACAGGGUGGGCUUUGGAUAAUUGGUUACAUUUACAAGGAUAAAGAAACACUCAUAUUUACAAUGCUGUUAGGAUAAUCUGACAUAUAUCACAUUUCUUUCUCUUUUACAAAUUUAAAGAUAGCCUGAGGAAGAAAAAAAUAAUACUCUCAGAAAGGGUAAUCAUUCUUAAAUACAAAGAUAAAGAGACAAGCUGGAUUCAUCAAACACUUGAAGAAAACAAGUAACAUGGGAGAGAGAGAGAGAGAGAAUCACCAACUUUAAUAAACAUACAUCAUCCUAGGAACUAGAGUUCCUAGUGCAAAAAGAUACUUUGAAAUGUAUUAGUAUCUUCAGAGUAAUAAGAGAGUUUAAUAUAUUCAUGAAUCAAUAACUUGGUUGUAAAAAAUAUUACCAACUAGAGAUCUUGAAAAUGAUUGCCAAAAGUAAAAUCACAGUAAAUGAAUGGGAUAGUAGAAUAGCUGCAGCUGAAGAUGAAUCUGAUCAAUUUUUCCAAAAUGCAGGGGAAAGGUACAAAAUAAAGUACAUCAGAAAAAUUAAAAGACAACAUUGAUCCAAAUUUUAAUACUCAUUUCAAAGGAAGAAAAAUAAUGUAAUAGAGGUAAUAACCCAAUAACAAUACUAUUAUUGCUACUACAACCAAUGACAUAAAUACACAGAACUGAUGACAUCAUUCUUUACAUUGAAAAGUCUACCAAUGAGAACACUUGGACACAGGAAGGGGAACAUCACACAC